rnacentral:sRNA from 1 species
UUGGCUUGGCCCAAGCAUAUCUGCGACUCUUUUCCUCUACAACUCUCGCCUCUGUCUACUCCACACGCCCCAAGCACUCUCUUGCUUCUAGGCUUGGCCAUGUGCAGUUUGUGUACAGUUCCCAGGCCAAAGGGUAGUAUUUGGCUGUGGAAAAGGGGAUCAUUGGGUGGUUUCUGUCACACCCAGUGACAGCCUUCUUUCUCCUCCCCAGCAGAAUUCAUCUCCUCAAGAUUGUCUCUAUAAAUUGUGUAUGCUGUUUUUUUGUUUCCAGUCUGAUUGAAUUUCCACCAGUCAGUUCUCCACUCCCUUCCUAUGAACAGAUGGUGGCGGCCAGUAGCCACAGCCAGACGUCCAUGCCCCAGGUGUUUGCCAUUGCAGCCUAUUCAAAGGGAUUUGCCUGUUCUGCUGGGCCAGGGAGAGUUCUGCUGUUUGAGAAGAUGGAAGAAAAGGAUUUUUACCGUGAGAGCAGAGAAAUCAGGAUUCCUGUGGACCCACAGAGCAAUGAUCCAAGUCAGUCUGACAAACAGGACGUUCUCUGCCUGUGCUUCAGCCCCUCAG